ensembl:snoRNA
AUCAUUUUGUAGUUCAUGAGCAUGAUGAUUGGGUGUUCACUCGAAUGUGUGAAAUGUGCCACCCUGAACCUUGUUAUGAUGUUGGCUUGGUAAAACA